GACGUAGGGCGCGAGCGUUGUCCGGAUUUAUUGGGCGUAAAGAGCGUGUAGGCGGCCAGGUAGGUCUGGUGUGAAAACUCGAGGCUUAACCUCGAGAUGUUAUCGGAAACCAUCUGGCUAGAGUCCGGAAGAGGCGAGUGGAAUUCCCCGGUGUAGCGGUGAAAUGCGCAGAUAUCGGGAGGAACACCAAUGGCGAAGGCAGCUCGCUGGGACGUUACUGACGCUGAGACGCGAAAGCGUGGGGAGCAAACAGG
rnacentral:rRNA from 1 species